rnacentral:tRNA from 1 species
GGGUGUAUAGCUCAGUGGUAGAGCAUUCGACUGGAGAUCGGGAAGUCCCCGUUUCAAAUCCGGGUGCACCCU